GUCUCCGGGAAGGCUUUUCUACUUUUUAUACCCUGUUAGAGUCUACUGUAUUCCAAAUGCGUGCAAUGUUUCAUCUUUUCCAAAGCCAUAGAGUGAGCUUUACAUCUAGUCCCUAAAUCGCUAGCAUUCCGGUAGUGGCAUGUGGGCUCAACUGUGAGCAUCUCUGGUUUCUGCAUCACUGCGUUGCUGACUCAGAAACAACUCCCACUGGCGUGUCAGCUCACGCAGAGGACACUGGUCUGGCCCGCAGGCUGUGGCACAGCACUGCUGGAGGUCCCGGAUUGGCCUUCCUUGGCAUCGCUCUUCAGCCCGGCCAGACUGAUGCAGCCUUCCCCCGAGACUCUUCCUGGGGUGGGAAAUGCUUUUCUCAGGCAGGGCUUGUACACAGCCCUGCAGGAGUCCCUCGGGGGCAGAGAGGAAGUGGUGGGACAGCCACAGCACAGGCUCUUUUGUGUCACUUGACACAAAGGUCCUUUCGGACUCAUGGCCCUUGCUGCAAGAUUCUUCUGUUUCCUCAGCCCCAGAACUGGAGUCUGUGGGAACCCAGUCCUGGCCUCCUCGACCCCCGAGCAGUUAUUUUAGUCUUUCUCCAGCCGCCUGAAGAGAAACGUGACUGAAAGGAGCCAGGAUGUGUGCUAUGUCCACAGAUCUUUUUUUAAAUUUAUUUUAUUUAUUUGAAAGAUACACUUAGGGAGAGAGAGAGAAAUAGAGGGAGAAAGAUACAUCUUCAUAAACUGAUUCACUUCCCAAAUGGCUGCAAAGGCCAGAGCUGAGCUGAGCUGAAGCCAGGAGCCCGAGGACUUGGGCCAUCUUCCACUGCUUUCCUCGCUGCUUUAGCAGGGAGCUGGAUCAGAGUGGAGCAGCCGGGACUCAGAAGGCGCCCACACGAAAUGCUGGUGCUGCAGGGUAGGCUUUAAUCUGCUGCGCCACAGCACCAGCCCCCACAAAAUCUUCUUUUUUUAAGACUUAUUUAUUUAUUUGAAAGUCAGAGUUACACACAGAGAGAAGGGGACUCAGAGAGAGAGGGGGGCCUUCCAUUUGCUGGUUCACUCCCCAUUUGGCCGCAGCAGCUGGAGUUUUGCCAGUCCCAAGCCAGGAGCCAGGAAUUUCUUCCAGGUCUCCCAUGCAGGUGUAGGGACUCAAGGACUUGGGCCAUCUUCUGCCACUUUCCCAGGCCAUAGCAGAGAGCUGAUCGAAGUGGAGCAGCUGGGACUCGAACCGGCACCCUUAUGGGAUGUCGGCACUGCAGAUGGUGGCCUCACCAGGCACGCCACAGUGCCAGUCCGCACACAAAAUCUUAAUUGGGGGAUCGGCGCCGUGGCUCACUUGGUUAAUCCUCCAUCUGUGGCACUGGCAUCCCAUAUGGGCGCCAGGUUCUAGUCCCGGUUGCCCCUCUUCCAGGCCAGCUCUCUGCUGUGGCCCGGGAGGACAGUGGAGAAUGGCCCAAGUGCUUGGGCCCCUGCACCCGCAUGGGAGACCAGGAGGAAGCACCUGGCUCCUGGCUUCAGAUCGGUGCAAUGCCAACUGUAGCGGCCAUUUGGGGAGUGAACCAACAGAAGGUAGACCUUUCUGUCUGUCUGCCUCUCUCACUGUCUAUAACUCUAGCUGUCUAAUUAAAAAAAAAAAAAAAAAAAAAAAAAACUUAAUUGGGUAACUUUGCCUGGGGAAUUCAAAUCCGGUUCCUCUGCUCUGUUCGGUAAGCACCCACUGAUAGCAGCUUCAUGUCAAGCUGUGUGCUGGGGGACUGCACACGAGUGAGGGCAGACGGGUUCCCUGUGCUUAAGCUGCACAGCCUUGGAGCACGGAGCAGUUUAAAGUAAGAGCGUUGCCAGUCGGUGGUUUCGAGCUGCGCUGCGCAGAACCCGUCAGCGUGUGACUCUGGUUUCCUUCUUGAUCGUGCUCUCAGGCCUGCUGAGCCGUUGCCCCCGUCAGACGCUGUGCUCGCUGCUGUGCUCCUGCGGGCUCCCUGUGCUGACCUCCGGAAGCCCGGCCUGCAGAGCACGCGUGGGAAGCUGGGGACGCACCGCUGAGAAGGAGCUCUUUCCCUCCUUUACGCUCAGUGGUCACAUGCAGCACAUUCAGCUCGUGGCUGAGCAGGACACGUGACCCUUCUUUCUUUUUAAGAUUUUUUUCUUACUUGAAAGUCAGAGUUACACACACACACACACACACAGAGAGAGAGAGAGAGAGAGAGAGAGAGGUCUUCCAUCCGCUGGUUCACUCCUCAAGUGGCCACAACGGCUGUAGCCGUGCUGAUCCGAAGCCAGGAGCUUCCUCUAGGUCUCCCACACGGGUGCAGGGCCCAAGGACUUGGGCCAUCUUCUGCUGCUUUCUCAGGCCACAGCAGAGAGCUGGACAGGAAGUGGAGCAGCCGGGACUCGAACCGGUGCCCAUAUGGGAUGCCGGCACUGAAGGCGACGGCUUUACCCACUACGCCACAGCACCAGCCCUGCCAUUGCGCCCUUUCUCACACACCCUUUUCACCGUUGAAUAGUGAGGAACAGAUAAUAAGCUUCGGGCCAUAUGCUCCAGGCUUCCUGGCCUAGAUACAGACCUGGGUGCUCAUCCACAUGGCUGGUUCCUGGUGCUUGCUAUGAACCCUAAUUACCUCUCACUCUCCUGUGCAUCUUUCUCACUAAAUAAAAGCUUAAAACGUAAAAAAAAAAAAAUAGUAAGAGUAGCAGUGUUGCUCGUGAGUCCUUGAUCAUGGUCCAUAAUGCAGUCGCUGUCCUGUGUGUUUCCAUACAGAAAGUCUCUCAGUGUUUAUAGCCAUCCUGUGAGGCAGGGGCAGGUCUGAAUCUUUGGUCCAAACCCUUGAGGGUCCUGUGUGUUUCAGAAUUUGACUUUUUUAACUCUAAAGUUAAUGUACUAUGCACAUAAUAUAAUAUUCCAGUUCUAUCUCAGAGUUAAAGGCAUUAAUAUUUCCACAGCAAAAUAUAAAUGUUCACAUUAAAAAAAUAUAAAAAUGGCCUCAUCAUUUCAGGUAGUGUCUUACUGCUGGCUUGGUUUGCUUGAAAUCCAGCACUUGUUAGAUUGUGGGAGUGAGGACAGAGGAAUGCAGACUUGUCCUCUGUUGGUGUUUCACAGUGGAGAAACAGAGACCAGGGCAGGGUAGGUAGGUGGGGGUCAGAGACCAGGGCAGGGUAGGUAGGUGGGGUUAGAGACCAGGGCAGGGUAGGUAGGUGGGGGUCAGAGACCAGGGCAGGGUAGGUAGGUGGGGGUCAGAGACCAGGGCAGGGCAGGUAGGUGGGGGUCAGAGACCAGGGCAGGGCAGGUAGGUGGGGGUCAGAGACCAGGGCAGGGUAGGUAGGUGGGGGUCAGAGACCAGGGCAGGGUAGGUAGGUGGGGGUCAGAGACCAGGGCAGGGUAGGUAGGUGGGGGUCAGAGACCAGGGCAGGGUACGUAGGUGGGUGUCAGAGACCAGGGCAAGGCACGUAGGUGGGGGUCAGAGACCAGGGCAGGGCACGUAGGUGGGGGUCAGAGACCAGGGCAGGGCACGUAGGUGGGGGUCAGAGACCAGCGCAGGGUAGGUAGGUGGAGCUCACACUGCCGCUGGAGUGUGGCCUGCAGGCUCAGGGAGCCUCACCCCGGGGCUGUGCCCUCUCAGCAGGUGUGACAGUUCCUCCUGCUGUUGAUAGUCCUUCCUAACACUUACCACGUCUUUUUGUUUCUAUAUGCUGGUGUAUUCCCCAAAUAGCCACCGCAGUCAGGCCUGGUCCAGGUCAAAGCCAGGAGCCCGAAGCUCCCUCUGGGUCUCUCACAUGGGUGCAGGGCCCCCAGCACAUGGGGCAUCCUCUGCUGCUUUCCCAGGCACAUGAGCAAGGAGGUGGAUCAGAAGCCAAGCAUUUGGGACUCGAACCAGCACUGCAGUAUGGGAUGCCAGCGUCACAGGCAGCAGCUUAGCUGUUGUACGACGGCACCAACCCCCAUUACAGGAGAAAAAAAUUACUUUGCUAAUCUGGAUGAAUCAGUUUGCAUAUUGGGCCUGUUCUAAGAAUAUACUUGCUGUUCUCUAGCCCUGCGUUUUAAACUUUGUUUCCAAAGUUCCAAAAGCCUGAUUUGUAUUUUAAAAAGUAAAUGUUAGGCCAGCGCCGUGGCUCACUAGGCUAAUCCUCUGCCUGCGGCGCUGGCACCCCAGGUUCUAGUCCCGGUUAGAGUGCUGGUUCUGUCCUGGUUGUUUCUCUUCCAGUCCAGCUCUCUGCUGUGGCCAGGGAGUGCAGUGGAGGAUGGCCCAGGUGCUUGGGCCCUGCACCCCAUGGGAGACCAGGAGAAGCACCUGGCUCCUGCCUUCGGAUCAGCGCAGUGCCGGCCAUGGAGGCCAUUAGGGGAGUGAACCAACAGAAGGAAGACCUUUCUCUCUGUCUCUCUCCUACUGUCUCUCUCUCUCUCUCUCAGUGUCUAACUCUGUCUGUCAAGAAAAUAAUAAUAAAUAAAUAAAUAAGUAAAUGCCAUAAAUUCUCCACACUAGAGCUAUGCCUUCCAACUCUGGGGUCCUGUGGGACUGCACUUGGGCCAGUGCAGCGAGCAGCAGGCUGCUCGGCCGUGAGCGCCCCUGCCGUGCCGCUGUUCUGCAGGAGCGGGGGGGAGGACUGCUGGGGCGGGAGGGCUCGGCUGUCGGGGUUGUUUCUUUCCAUUGAGAUCAUGUGCGUGCAGUGAACAGCACAGACCUUCUGUGUGAGGUUUGAUGAGCUUUGAUAAACGCAUAACCCAUGUAACUUACCCUCUAAAGUAAGAUAUUUCUAGUGCUCCAGAUAGCUUCUACACUGCGUUCCCCUUUUUAAAAUUCAUUCAUUCAUUCAUUCAUUCAGAAGGCAGAAUGGCAGAGAGAAGGAAAUUAUCCAUCUGCUGGUUCGCUCCCCAGAUGUCCACAAUGGCCAGUGCUGACCAGGCCAAAGCCAGGAGCCAGAAGCCUCUGGGUCUUCUGCAUGGGUUCAGGGGCCCAAGGACCUGGGCUGUCCUCUGCUGCUUUCCCAGGCCACAGCAGGGAGCUGGGUGGGAAGUGGAGCAGCCAGGACACAAACCAGUGCCCGUGUGGGAUGCCAGUGUCGCAGGCAGCCGCUUUACAUGCUACGCCACGCCGGCCCCUUGAUGAUUCCUUACAGGUUGUGGUUUGUCUUGUUUGUGGUGUUGCAUCUGAAACUUAGCGUUUGUGUUCCUAAGUGAGGAUGAUCUAUUUGUUGUCACCGCUGGUUUCAAGGUCGAGGCUGUUUUUCAUAGGAUGAGUUGGAUGAUCGCCGCCUCUCCCUGUGGUUUGUGUAGUUGCCGUCUUGUGAUCCUCAUUUGGAUGUGUUCUCGGCAUUCCAUAGCCAAGUUCCCUGUGCUGCGUUUGACUCUGCUUUUGUGUUUUCUGGGUCAUUUCCCUGCCCACUGCCGCAGGAUAAAACCUGCAUUCCUGUCUGUCCUGCGCCCUUCCUCACUCACAAGUCACCAGCGUGUCAGUUCUGACCCCUCCCCUGCCCAGCCCGCUUCUCUAGUCUGGCCACUCCCACUUGUCUGCUGCACCACGUCAGCUCCCUCCUCAAGCUGGGUCUCCAGCACAUGUUUAUUGAGAGCCUUGGGGACCAGCAGUGUUCAGGGCUCCGGAGCUGCGAGAGAGGACAAGACAGAUGGGGUCCCCGCCUUCAUGGCUGCAGUCUGGCAAGGGAGAUGAGCAUGCAACUCAAGUCAUCAGCCAGAACUCAUCUGAAGAAAACUGUGCAGAGAGGAAAGGAGGGGGUCUGGAAAGGAGGCCCAGACUUGGCCAGGCUGAAAGAAUGACACAGGAGAGCGGGCCGACAGCAGACACAGAAGCCCCGGCGCAGCAGUGUGCAUGGCCAGUGUGGCUGGCCCUGAAGCAGGGAGGCCCUCAGGAGGGGGACACCCAGAGUUUAUGCCCAAGGCAGUAGGAAACCAUCAAAAGCCUUUUAGCAAGAGGCCAAGGCCACUGUUUCCGCAUGGAGAGUGGAGGUAGGCAGCAGGAGAGGACGCCUUCAUGUCCAAGCGGUCAGGGGAUCGAGGGAGGAAGCAGGCAGGACGGUGUUUCCAGCACGAGCACCAGGUACGCAGGUCCUAACUGAAGAGCGCAGGCUUGGAGCGUGUUAGACGUGGAGUGCCGCACCUUGCAGUAUUCUCUGAAUUGUCCUCCAAAGCCGCUUCUGUGGCACGGUGCUGUUUCUGACAUGGGAUGUCUACCAGUGGCUGCCACACAGCAACACCCAGCAUGGUCGACGAUUGAAGCCUGAGGACACUGUCUAAUGGGACACGUGGGAGUGUGCCCUCCACUGCCACAGCCCGCCGUGUGCCUGCCCCUGCUUCCCGCGGGGCUCGCAGUUAAUAGCGGUGUGACCCGAGCAUCUUCCCUUGCUCUCAGGCCUUUCCGUUCGGUGACCUCGGGGGUCUGUCCUGCUGGACGUGGAGUCCCGCACAGGCCUCCCUGAAUGCCUGCAGCAGCACAGAGGGGGCUUCUGUCUGCUCUGCAGACGGAGAGCCCCUCGGGCACAGCGCCUGUGACUUUUCCGUUGACUCGGAGUCCUGUGCACUGCCUGGCACACGGGAGGCGCUCGGGGUCAGUGGGGAGCGAGAAUGCUCUGACCACAGGCUCUUGAAGGCCUGAAGCAGGUUUCAUCCUGGAAAGAUGACCUCAGCGCCUGGCGGGCUGACGGGGCAGAGGGCAAGACUGGACAUGCAGAGCUGCAUGAGGAAGUGACGGGCAGGCCUGAGCCAAAACCCUGGGCUGGGAGGCAGACGUGCGCACUCGAGCGGAAGGGAUGCUCUUAUACCGGUGUGGUCAGCUGGUACAAGAGGCCAGCAGAGGAGAAAGGUGGGCAGGACGCCCAGCUUCGGUGCAGGCAGAAGCCACACUGUGUCACUCAGGGAGAGGAAGUGCAGCAGGAGGGGCGGCUUCCGUCUGAGGAAAUGCGAAUGGGCAAGUGCAGGAGGCAGUGACGACGGGUGAAGCUCCUCUGCACUUCCUGGGAGGAGCCAGCCAAGGCCUCGGGGCAGGGAAGACCACGCGGCACCACCUCUGGAAAGUGCCUCGCUGUCCCUCCCUGUCUCAGUCUCUGAGUCACCCGAGGGCGUCUGCCCUGCAGGUGUUACAGGCUUACCUGGGCCUCAUUUGCACCCGGUGUUCCUCACCGGGUGCGGCCAGUACGUAUCACCAUUGCCUGCCAGCCGGAGGGGCUGCACACACAGCUGCUGCUGUCCCUCGCCCCGGCGCCCUCUGGUGUCCUGUCACCCUGGGCCUUGCUGCUCCCCUGGGUCUGCCACUCGGGGUCCAGCUGCAAGGGAGGUGUGCUGGGCAUGCUCCGUCAGUCCUCCCCUGGGCCGCUGGGAUUUGGAUCCUGCACCUGCCCCUUACUUCCCGGCCUUAGGCAGGCUGCUUCUGUCAAGUGCGGGCAGGACUUCUCUCUAGGGACGAGGAGCAUCCGUAAACCAUAGCGGAAUAACACACCGUUCACUCUUGCACUGAGCUGGGUCUCCAUGGCAGCCAUGAGUGCUGCAUUGGUGAGAAUCUUCUGGAGCCCGGCGCAUACCCCCAUAAAAGGUGAAGCAGCCACGCCUCCCAGAGGUGGUUGACACGGGGGUCACGGCCACUUUGGGAGGGGUUCUGCAGAGGAGCAUUGCAUUGCAAGUAUCACUCUCCACUGGGUUUCCCUCAUUGUGUCUAUAAGAAACCAUGAUUAGUUUUGCUGUCGUGAGAGCAUCCUCACAAGGGUUAUUUUUAGCGGUGAGCUGAAGAGGCCAGGAUUGUCUCAGUGCGGUGUGUUUCUUUGGAGAUGCUGAGUCUGUGUCAGAAACCAGGUCUCAGGCAGGGCAGGACUCCCCAAGGCAUGUGCAGAGCCAGUGUGCAUCGUCUGUUACCCAAAUUGUGGGUCAGUACUCUUGUGUGAUAAAAAAGUAAAAUAAAUAUCAAGCAACUGGGUCCCUGCCACCCAUGUGGGAGACACAGGUCAAGUCCUGACUUCUGUUCAGCCUGGCCCAGUACUGACUGUUGGCAUUGUGGGAGUGGGAGCUCUCUUAGUCUCUGUGUCUGUCUCAGAUGUGUUUGUUUGUUUGAAGUGAGAGAGGGAGAGGGGGAGGGGUAGAUCUUCAUCCACUGGUUCACCUCCCAAAUGACGGCAAUGCCCAGGGCUGAUCCAGGCCCAAAGCCCGGAGCUCGGAGCUUCACCGCAGUCACCCAUGUGAGUAUCAAGAGCCUGAAUACUUGGGACAGCCUCUGCCUGCUUUUGCAGGGGCUGGACCCGAAGUGGAGUAGCUGGGGCUAGAACCGGUGCUGCAGUAACAGGAUGCAGCUUAGCUCGCCGCCCUGUGUCUCUCUCUGCCUCUCCAAUAAAGAAAAAUCAGUGACUAGAAAAGGGACUUUUUAAAAAAUGAUAUAGAGGGCCUAGUGUUUUGGCAAAGCAGAUAAAGCCACCACUGGUAGUGCUGGCAUCCUAUAUGGGUGCCAGUUCGAGUCCUGGUUGUUCCACUUCUGAUCCCGCCCCCUGCGAAUGCACCUGGAAAAGCAGUGGAAGAUGGCCCAACUACUUAGGCUCCUCACCCACGUGGGAGAUCGCAAAGAAGCUCCUGGCUCCUGGCUUUGGACCGACCCAGCUCCAGCCGUUGGCAGCCAUCUGGGGAGUAAACCAGCAGAUGGAGACACCUCCCUCCCUCCCUCUCUCUCUUUCUGCCUCUGCCUCUGCCUCUGCCUCUGCCUCUGCCUCUGCCUCUGCCUCGCUAUAACUCUGCCUUUCAAAUAAAUAAAAUAAGUAUUUUUUAAAAAAAUACAAAUAUAUAAGCCUGUUUUAAUUAUAAACUUUUUAAAAAAGAUUUAUGUGCUUGCUUUGGCAGCACAUAUACUAAAAACCUAUUUUUUUAUUUGAAAGGCAGAGUUACAGAGAGGCAGAGAGAGAGAAAGGUCUUCCAUCCGCUGAUUCACUCCCUUGGUGGCCGCAGUGGCCGUAGCUGUGCUGAUCCGAAGCCAGGAGCCAGGAGCUUCCUCCAGGUCUCCCACAUGGGUGCAGGGGCCCAAGGACUUGGGCCAUCUUCCACUGCUUUCCCAGGCCACAGCAGAGAGCGGGAUUGGAAAUGGAGCAGCCGGGACUGGAACGGGCAUCCACCUGGGUUGCUGGCACUGCAGGUGGCAGCUUUACCUGCUACGCCACAGUGCUGGCCCGUUAAGAACCCUUAACAGCCCAAAAUCACUGCUUCAGAUUGCUGUAAAAAUGUCUGAAGACCUGUACUUUCUGUUUCUGUCUCGUCAUGAGUUGCUCACAAACCCUCCCUGGACCAGGCCCCUGUGUGGCCACACCCCUCAGUGAGGGCCACUCUGCACCCUGGUGGACACCCUGUCCUCACUGGAAAAGAUUGUCUAGUCAGUGAGAUCGUGCAGAGUGUUCUGGCAGACCAGAGCAGCUGUCUGUUGUCUGCCCUCGGUUUUCAGAGCUCACGUCACUGAGGGGUGCUGCUGUGGGCCGCUGCUCGCAUUUCUCCAGUCUCCCCUCACCAGCUGCCCUUCCUCUGGGCCCCACGGCCUCCACAGCCUGCACAGCACGUGAGCUGCCUGUGGCCUUGCAGCCCUUCACAGAGCAUGCGUUCUGGACCUGCUGCCUCCUCUCUCCUUUCACAGAGAGCACUGUGUCCGUGACCCCACAGAAAAAAGUCUUGCAGACUUUGCACGGUACAGGCCACUUUGGUCAGAGCCUCUCUGUUGAGAGAAUUUUCUUUCCAACUGGGUACUGCUUAAAAAUAGUGACUUUGCCGCUUUCUGCUUCGUGCCAUUGUAUACAGUCAUUUUCUUGUGUGGAACUUUGCUAACGAAAGAUCUUAGCUUUAAAAUGAGAAAGUCCUGUCUGUAUAAAGCUCACUUUGUGUUUCGAGAAAGGAAAGCAAGCCAGUCGGCCUGAAUCAAAGCUGAUUGCCAAGGCGUGCCCCUGGAGCCCUGGCAGAAGGCUGGCCGUCACACAGCGGCCCUCAGCCUGUGCCCCAGCUCGACGACAGUCAAGUCCAGCCGAAGGAGACGGAGCUGGGAGCUGGGAGCCAUGAGCCGUGGCUCCAGAGUUUCUGAAGUGACAGCAGCGUGGUGCCAUCUGGUUGGUCCCUGACCCCAAACCACCAGAGGGACCACCGCUCCAAGUGGUGGCACUCCACAUCAACGGAUGGUAGGACAGGGUCUCUUAUGGCUCGGGCAUCUCUGAGAAUGUUAUGUCCCAGAGUUGUGUCCGGGACCGUGUGGCGAUUGGUCUGUUCUGCUGGGAAUGGGCAGGUGGGCCCACUUAGGCACAAGCGCAGGCGGGAGCGGCAGGCUUACAAGCAGCACGCGCAGACAAAGGUUCCCGUGAGCCCAGCCUGUGGAGGCCCUGCUUCAGGUUCUGGACAUGCAGCACCGCGCUGCUGUCACUUCAGAAACUCUGGAGCCACUAAAUCACAAUUCACUUUUUAAAAACAAAAGGCUGGCAGUGGCGCUGUGGCGUAGUGGGUGAAGCCGCCGCCUGCAGUGCCGGCAUCCCCUGUGGACACUGCUUCAGGACCUGGCUGCUCCACUUCCCGUCCAGCUCCCUACUAAUGCUCCUGGGAAAGCAGCAGAAGAUGGCCCACGUGUUUGGGCUUCUGCUACCCAUGUGGGAGACGGAUGAAGCUCCAGGCUCGUGGCUUCGACCUGGCCCAGGGGUGGCCAUUGCAGCCACCUGAGGAGUGAACCAGCAGGUGGAACAUCUCUUUCUCUCAUCUCUCCCUCCUCUGACUUUCAAACUCAAUAAAUAAAUCGUACUUUAAAAAAUGAUAAAUUUUUUAAAAAGAAAAUGCACAUUUGAUGUGGAAAACAGAUUGUCCCAAAUACUCUGUUUCUGUGAUCCAUGUGUACAGAGUUGUAAGCGUGAGCUGCCGCACUUUGGCUUUGCCGUAGCCCUCUCUCCAUCUGGCUGUUCCGUAAGGGGCAGGAGAGCCCCACUUCACCCAGGCGCAAGAGCAGAGCUGGCGCUUUGCGAACGGCCGUCCUCGCCUUGAUCUCAGUUCCCGUGGGGCACUCAUCUUCACUCGGGGUGCAUCUGCUGUGGGAGAAAAAUGCUUAGGAAUUUAUUCCACUCACAGAACACCAGUGGACUUUACAAAGAUGGGUAGGCCUUCUUGUUCUAAAAAACAAAAUCCCGGGGCCGCCUGCAGUGCCGGCAUCCCAUAUGGGUGCCAGUUCGAGUCCCAGCUGCUCCUCUUCCGAUCCAGCUCUCCGCUGUGGCCUGAGAAAGCAAUAGAAGAUGCCCAAGUCCUUGGGCCCCUGCGCCCGUGUGGGAGACCCGGAAGAAGCUCCUGGCGCCUGGCUUCAGAUCAGCACAGCUUCAGCCAUUGUGGCCAUUUGUGGAAUGAACCAGCAGAUGGAAGACCUUUCUUUCUGUCUCUCUCACUCUGUGUCUGUAACUUAGUUUCUCACAUAAAUAAGUAAAAUCUUUAAAAAAAUAAAAUCCCAUUUUUGGGGAAAAUAAAACAUUGGAGAAUUGUUAUGCAUAACAGAAGAAGUUGCUCCAGGUGAUUUUAUAUGAGAUAAAAGUAGGUAAUUGACUUCAGUACAUGAAGCAUAAUACCCUAUUCUUUUUCAAAGAUGGAUUGAUUUGAAAGGCAGAAUUACAGAGAGGCAGAGGCAGAGCGAGAGAGGUCUUCCAUCGAUGGUGCACUCCGCAGAUGGCCACAACGGCCAGAGAUGGGCCGAUCUGAAGCCAGGACCUGGAGCUUCUUCCAGGUCUCCCACACAGGUGCAGGGGCUCAAGGACUUGGGCCAUCUUCUGCUCUCCCAGGCCAUAGCAGAGAGCUGGAUCAGAAGAGGAGCAGCCAGGACAAGAAUUGGCACCCAUAUGGGAUGCUGGCACUACAGGCGGUGGCUUUACCUGCCAUACCACAACCCCGGCCCCAGCACCCCAGCACCCCAGCACCCUACCCUAUAAGCAUGCGUUACAGAUGAACAGAAGGUGCGCACUGUGGGCUCCCUGAAGCCUCCUCUGCUGUGUAAGAGCUGCGUGGCCCUAAGCAGCUGGUUGUGCUUUUCUGAGCUUCAGUUCCUCGUCUGUCAAGCACCUCCUGGAAGCAUUCCCUUCCGCAGGUGUCCAUGGCACAUCCACGUACACAUUACUACCCAGCACUUCUUAAUGACUGAAGAGACCAGUGUGACCUAGCGGGUUAAGCUGCCACCUGCAGUGCCAGCGCUCCCAUGUGGGCGCCAGUCCAAGUCCUGGCUGCUCUACUUACGAUCCAGCUCCCUGCUAAUGUGCCUGGGACAGCAGUGGUGGUCCCUUGGGCCCUCACACCCUUAUGGGAGACCUGGAAGAGGCUAUUGGCUCCUGACUUUUGCCUGGCUCAGACAUGGCCAUUGCAGCCAUUUGGGGAAUGAACUAGCAGAUGGAAGAUUUCUCUCCGUAACUAUGCCUUUCAAAUAAAUAAAAUAAAUCUCAAAAAAAAGACUCCUAUGAAAACCAUGCAGACUGGGCAUCAGCAUUCUACCCAUUCCACAGGAGAACAGAUGGGUCGGGAGAGUUCUGUCCCUUGUCCCCUGGCAUGUGGGACAGCGCACAGAGCGUCCAUUUGUGUCCUUCAGUUUACGCUGCACUCUGCCAUGUGCAGCACAGGGCGUCACAGCCACCAUCCUGUGGGUACUUAGCAUCCAGUAACAAGAAACAGAAAGGCUCAAUGUUGAUGAAAAAGGGGCAAGUUACAGCGAUAGUAGGUAUUUUGAUUGUGAAUUCACAGCGAGUUUUUAAUUGGUGACCCAGUAGUCCGCAUGUACAGAGAGAUGCACUCCCAUAUGCUACUGCACAGGUGAAACCAGGCAGCCUGAACACGCUGGAAGCUUACACCAAGGAUUCUUCAAAUAAUCAAGCCCCUUGACCCAACAACUCAGUUCUUGCGAGUAUCUCCCAGGGAUUCAAAGACCUGUACACAAAGAUUGAGCAGCCACCACUGUACAGUGGAAUUUUUGAAAAUGACCCAAACAGCAGGACCAUUUAAAGACUGAUUUUAUUUAUUUGAAAGAGUUACAGAGAGAGCUAGCAACAGAGAGGUCUUCCAUCCAGUGGUUCACUCCCUAGAUGGCUGCAACGGCUGGAGCUGCGCUGAUCCAAAGCCAGGAGCCAAGAGCUUCUUCCGGGUCUCCCAUGUGGGUGCAGGGGCCCAAGGACCUGGGCCAUCUUCUGCCUUCCCAGGCCACAUCAGAGAGCUGGAUCAGAAGAGGAACAGCCUGGACUAGAACCAGUGCCCAUAUGGGGUGCUGGAGCUUCAGUCCUGUAUGGUGGUUUGAAUUACUGCUCAAUUCUAGAGAUGCAGAAUUGGAACCCAGGUCACACAGCGUGUGAGGGCUGGAGCCUGGGUCAGAGCCCAUGCCCACUGACGGAAAAUUUUCUGUUUUCUGACGCUAUUCAUACAGUGGAAUUCUGGGCAGCCUUUUUACAUUUUACCUGUUUCCCCGGAGUAAAUAUUUGAAUGCUGCAAAGUCAUGACCUGGUUUCGUGUUUAUAAGCUUAAUUUACGCCAUAGUGGUUGCUAAUGAAAGGUACUUCCAAGCAGUAACAUUGCUGUUUAUUUUUCCUUUCUAGUUUUUGCAGUAUCUUAGUUUUUCUACAGUAAGUUCAUGUUCAGAUUAUCUUUAUAUACAGAAGGUCGAUUUAGUAUAUAUUAAGUAAAGAUUUCAUCAGUUUGCACCAACACAGAAACACAAAGUGUAAAAUACUGUUUCAGUACUAGUUAUAGCAUUAUUUCACAUUGGACAACACAUUAAGGAUAGAUCCCACAUGAGGAGUAAGUACACAGUGACUCCUGUUGUUGACUUAACAAUUUGACACUUGUUUAAGGCAUCAGUAAUCUCCCUAGGCUCUAGUCAUGAGUUGUCAAGGCUGUGGAAGCCUUUUGAGUUCGCCGACUUCGAUCUUAUUUUGACAGGGUCAUAGUCAAAAUGGAAGUUCACUCCUCCUUUCAGAGAAAGGUACCUCCUUUGAUGGCCCCAUUCUUUCCACUGGGAUCUCACUCGCAGAGAUCUUUCAUUUAGGUGGUGGUUGUUGUUGUUGUUGUUGUUGUUGUUGUUUUGCCAGAGUGUCUUGGCUUUCCAUGCCUGAAAUACUCUCAUGGGCUCUUCAGCCAGAUCCGAGUGCCUUAAGGGCUGUUUCUGAGGCCAGAGUGCUAUUUAGGACAUCUGCCAUUCUAUGAGUCUGCUGUGUAUCCCGCUUCCCAUGUUGGAUCGUUCUCUACCUUUUUGAUUCUGUCAGUUAGUAUUAGCAGACACUAGUCUUGUUUGUUGUGAUCCCUUUGAUUCUUAGACCUAUCAGUGUGAUCAGUUGUGGACUGAAAUUGAUCACUUGGACUAGUGAGAUGGCAUUGGUACAUGCCAUCUUGAUGGGAUUGUAUUGGAAUCCCCUGUCACGAUUCUAACUCCACUGUUUGGAGCAAGUCCGAUUGAACAUGUCCCAAACUAUACAUCUCCUCCCUCUCUUAUUCCCACUCUUAUAUUUAACAGGGAUCACUUUUCAGUUAAAAUUUAAACAACUAAGAAUAAUUGUGUGUUACAGAGUUCAACCAAUAGUACUAGAACAAAAAAAAAAGUACUAAAAGGGAUAAAGUAUUACAUUGUACAUCAACAAUCAGAACAAGGGCUGGUCAAAUCACUGUUUCUCAUAGUGUCCAUUUCACUUCAACAGGUUUCCCCUUUGGUGCUCAGUUAGUUGUCGCCGAUCAGGGAGAACGUACGAUAUUUGUCCCUUUGGGACUGGCUUAUUUCACUCAGCAUGGUGUUUUACAGAUUCCUCCAUCUUGUUGCAAAUGACCGGAUUUCAUUGUUUUUGACUGCUGUAUAGUAUUCUAUAGAGUAUAUAUCCCAUAAUUUCUUUAUUCAGUCUACUGUUGAUGGGUAUUUGGGUUGGUUCCAGGUCUUAGCUAUUGUGAAUUGAGCUGCAAUAAACAUUAAUGUGCAGACAGCA